rnacentral:lncRNA from 1 species
UUUGAGAUGAUUCUUUCAAUCAUGUCUUCCACAGAAAGUUUUAUAUCAUCUAUCUCCUCUGCAGAUCGAGAGAACACAAGUUGCUUGUCAUGAAAAUCAAGUAAAUGUUUGUUUAUCUUACUACUUCAUCGUAAUUUAAAGUUUUAAUCAUCUGUUCUAGUUCAUUGAUAUGCUGACUCAUGGUGACGGUUUUUUUCAACGUAAUAUAUACUGCGAAUAUCUUUUGGUUUGUGGUUAUGGAUACUUUUUUAAACAAAAGUCUUCACUUAAAGGUAUCAUAU